CAAUAGCGUAUAUUUUAGUUGCUGCAGUUAAAAAGCUCGUAGUUGGAUUUCGGGUGGGAAUGGCCGGUCCGCCGUUUCGGUGUGCACUUGCUACGCCCACCUUGCUGCCGGGGACGUGCUCUUGAGUUCACGCUCGGGACACGGAGUCGGCGAGGUUACUUUGAGUAAAUUAGAGUGUUCAAAGCAGGCCUACGCUCUGAAUACAUUAGCAUGGAAUAACACGAUAGGACUCUGGCCUAUCUUGUUGGUCUGUAGGACCGGAGUAAUGAUUAAGAGGGACAGUCGGGGGCAUUCGUAUUUCAUUGUCAGAGGUGAAAUUCUUGGAUUUAUGAAAGACGAACUACUGCGAAAGCAUUUGCCAAGGAUGUUUUCAUUAA
rnacentral:rRNA from 1 species